GCUGCCCGCUUCGGCGGGGGGAGGAAAGUCCGAGCAACACAGAGCGCCGUCCAAGCUAACGACUUGACGUCCGUAAGGGCGUAGUAACGUAACAGAAAACAACCGCCCGCAAGGGUAAGGGUGAAAAGGCGGGGUAAGAGCCCACCGCGGAGGUAGCAAUACGCUCCGGCAGUACGUCUGACGGGUUGCAAGACCAUGUAUACCGACAGCCAAGGGUUGCUCGUCCGAUGUCGGGGGGUAGGUCGCUUGAGGCCGCAGGUGACUGCGGUCGUAGAUAAAUGAUGGAGGCUUCGCCUGCGGGCGGAGAACAGAACUCGGCUUACAGGGC
rnacentral:RNase_P_RNA from 1 species